UACGGGGGGGCAAGCGUUGUUCGGAAUUACUGGGCGUAAAGGGCUCGUAGGUGGCCAACUAAGUCAGACGUGAAAUCCCUCGGCUUAACCGGGGAACUGCGUCUGAUACUGGAUGGCUUGAGUUCGGGAGAGGGAUGCGGAAUUCCAGGUGUAGCGGUGAAAUGCGUAGAUAUCUGGAGGAACACCGGUGGCGAAGGCGGCAUCCUGGACCGACACUGACGCUGAGGAGCGAAAGCCAGGGGAGCAAAACGGGG
rnacentral:rRNA from 1 species